AUUUGGAGGAACAAAGAUUUCCAGACCUUUCUUCCUCAUUCUUCUUCUCCAAACGUGAAGCAUUCUGAGCUAAGAUACUGAGCCUAAAGUAGUUCCAGAACAUUUGGGAAGUAAGAUCGAUCGAGGGAAAGACAAAGGGAUCUAGGAUCCGAGAAAGUAGACAAGCAAGGUUAAGUAGAUGGGAUAACAUUACUCCUGCAACUAUCAGAUCAGAAGCAACUUAAGCAGUAG